AGCAGCCGCGGUAAUUCCAGCUCCAAUAGCGUAUAUUAAAGUUGUUGCAGUUAAAAAGCUCGUAGUUGAAUUUCGGGAUUGACACGUCGGUCGUGCCCUAAGGGGUAUGAACUGGCGUAGUCAAUUUCUCACCUUCUGGAGAACCGCGCUGUCCUUAAUUGGGUGACGCGGGGAACCAGGACCUUUACUUUGAAAAAUUAGAGUGUUUAAAGCAGGCAUUUUGCUUGAAUACAUUAGCAUGGAACAAUAAAAUAGGACGGCAUGAUUCUAUUUUGUUGGUUUCUAGGAUCACCGUAAUGAUUAAUAGGGAUAGUUGGGGGCAUUAGUAUUCAAUUGUCAGAGGUGAAAUUCUUGGAUUUAUUGAAGACUAACUACUGCGAAAGCAUUUGCCAAGGAUGUUUUCAUUAAUCAAGAACGAAAGUUAGGGGAUCGAAGAC
rnacentral:rRNA from 1 species